rnacentral:rRNA from 1 species
ACGUAGGAUGCGAGCGUUGUCCGGAUUUAUUGGGCGUAAAGAGUUAGUAGGUGGUCUGUUAAGUCUGAUGUUAAAGAUUGGGGCUCAACCCUGAAACUGCAUUGGAUACUGGCAGACUUGAGUGUGGUAGAGGCUAGUGGAAUUCCCAGUGUAGCAGUGAAAUGCGUAGAUAUUGGGAAAAACACCAGUGGCGUAGGCGGCUAGCUGGGCCAUAACUGACACUGAGGAACGAAAGCCAGGGUAGCGAGUGG